GUUGGAGGAGAGACGCGGGGCGGAGAGGAGCCGGUGCGACGGGGGAAGACCGGCGGACCGAGGGCGGCGGGGUCGGUGUUAAUCGUAGUUUAUCGCAGUCGUAGUUGUGAGCAGUUGGGGCGGGUGUUGGUGCGGGUUUGCGGUCGUUUAGACGCCGUUUGGAGUGGCGGUUUUGUCGGAGGUGGCGGCUGGGAGCGGGGAGUUAGGGUUAAGGUGUGGCUUUCUGGAAAAGACCCGGUUUAUCUGCGGGGUCGAGGGUCUGGAGUGGCUCUUACCUCCGGCUGGUUUUGUGGAGGGGUUUUAAGGAGGGGGCGUGGCUGUCAUGGCUGGAUUUUGGGUGAAAAUUGUUUUAAGGAAGCGUUUGAUUACACAAUGAGAUGUGUGUGUGUGUGUAUGAGUGUGUGUUACAGAAAGAGAGAGCAGCAGGAUGGGCUUUAUUAACACUACCUAAGACUGAUAGCUAUAGGCAGCCAGCAUUGGUGACAGGGUUUUUAGGGAGUGUAAAAGCUGUAGAAACGUGUAAAUAAAUAAAUAUGUUAUAUAUUUAAGACUUUGACUCCCUCACGCGCUCGCUCACGCAUACAUAUAACCUACACCCAGGGCGUGAGCCUGCAGUCGAGUGGAGCCACACAUACACACUCUCACAGUGUGUGUGUGUGUGUGUUUGAGUGCUAGUCUGCUCUCGUUCGUGUCAGAUAUGUGGAGAGAAAACGGUAAAUUUAAAAAAAGGCUCAGGUUUCAGAAAGAAAAGAGGAAAAAAAAAAAAAAAGAAAAGAAGAAGAAGGACCACAAGCACAUCGACUGCUCUGAGACAUCUGCUGGGGAGAGAGACACACAGAAAGAGAAAUAUAAAAAGAAAGAAAGAGAGAAAGAAAGAAAGAGUCAUGAGCUAUGGAGAAGGACACGAUCGCCAGUGUUCCCUAUUGCGCCAGUGUGCCGUUUUUGUGGACCUAUGGAAUUCCAUUGGAAAGGCGUCUAGCUGCCAAAGGUUGAUUGACUCGAUGCUGUCUGUCCCCUUCACCACUAAUGGUCAUCAAGGGAGUGACCCAGCAUUUGCCCUGGUGCCCACUGGCUGACCCGCAGCAGUUCUUCACUGGCAAGCUUUAUGUCCUUGUGUAUCAGCUAAAGCUGCCAGCUGAAGAACUGUUGUGGUUGGCUCUUUCCUGGCACCUCAGCCGAGGAGGACACGAUGAUGGCGUGCACAUCCAUAAUGGCAUAGGUGAGGUUUCAGGAAGAGAAGACAAAAGAGGGGGGGGAUGGGUGGAUGGGCGGAUGGCUCAGACAGUAGUGCUGGCGUGAUGAUGGGUCAGAGGGUUCAAACCAAUAGUGGAUCAGACAGGUCCGGCUUUCGGUCCCCCCCUCCACCCUCCUCCUAGCUUUGCCUGGAAUGCUCACGUGAGCUGUCCGGGCCUGGCUGUGCAUUCUCCACAGGCAUAAACAAAAGCUUCUGGCAGAGCCCAUGCUGACUCAGCAACAUUCCUGGCCCGGUGAGGUCCUCCUGGCCUUAUUUGGGCGUGGAGCGGGUGGGGAGCGGCCGCGGCUGGGCCGUGGCUCGUCAAGUGGGGAUGGGUUGACGGGGUUGACGGGAGCACCCACAGCAAGAAAGACAAAAAGAAAAAAAUAAAGUGAUGUUCUGAGGGGUUGAAAGAAGAAUU
rnacentral:lncRNA from 1 species